rnacentral:rRNA from 1 species
UUGGAGGGCAAGUCUGGUGCCAGCAGCCGCGGCAAUUCCAGCUCCAAUAGCGUAUAUUAAAGUUGUUGCAGUUAAAAAGCUCGUAGUUGAAUUUCGGGAUUGACGUGAUGGUCAUGCCUUAAGGGGUAUGAACUGUUACUGUUGAUUUCUCACCUUCUGGAGAAACUUGAUGUCCUUUAUUGGGUGUCUUGCGGAUCCAGGACCUUUACCUUGAAAAAAUUAGAGUGUUUAAAGCAGGCAUUUUUGCUCGAAUACAUUAGCAUGGAAUAAUAGAAUAGGACGGCAUGGUUCUAUUUUGUUGGUUUCUAGGAUCACCGUAAUGAUUAAUAGGGAUAGUUGGGGGCAUUAGUAUUCAAUUGUCAGAGGUGAAAUUCUUGGAUUUAUUGAAGACUAACUACUGCGAAAGCAUUUGCCAAGGAUGUUUUCAUUAAUCAAGAACGAAAGUUAGGGGGUCGAAGACGAUCAGAUACCGUCGUAGUCUUAACCAUAAACUAUGCCGACUAGGAAUCAGACGAUGUUAAUUUUUUAAUGACUCGUUUGGCACCUUACGGGAAACCAAAG